rnacentral:rRNA from 1 species
UACGGAGGGGGCUAGCGUUGUUCGGAAUUACUGGGCGUAAAGCGCACGUAGGCGGCUUUGUAAGUUAGAGGUGAAAGCCCGGGGCUCAACUCCGGAACUGCCUUUAAGACUGCAUCGCUUGAAUCAUGGAGAGGUCAGUGGAAUUCCGAGUGUAGAGGUGAAAUUCGUAGAUAUUCGGAAGAACACCAGUGGCGAAGGCGACUGACUGGACAUGUACUGACGCUGAGGUGCGAAAGCGUGGGGAGCAAACAGG